rnacentral:rRNA from 1 species
AUAGAGACUCAGAGCUGCAUAUCAAUAAGCGGAGGAAAAGAAACUAACUAGGAUUCCCUCAGUAACGGCGAGUGAAGCGGGAAGAGCUCAAAUUUGAAAUCUUAAAGGGUUCUACCUUGACGAAUUGUAGUUUAAAGAAGUGUUUUCUGUUGGAGUUUUCGGUAAAAGUUCUUUGGAAUAGGACAUCAUAGAGGGUGAGAAUCCCGUAUUUGACCAUUACUUUCCAACUGUGUGAUACACUUUCAAAGAGUCGGAUUGUUUGGGAAUGCAGUCCAAAAUGGGUGGUAAAUUUCAUCUAAAGCUAAAUACUGGCGAGAGACCGAUAGCGAACAAGUACCGUGAGGGAAAGAUGAAAAGAACUUUGAAAAGAGAGUUAAACAGUACGUGAAAUUGUCAAAAGGGAAGCGUUUGACACCAGUGUUGUUUUCUCGAAAAUCAAUUAAAAAUGGUGGGAUGUUGUGUUGUAUUGACUUUAUCAGCUUUCUGCACUUUUUUUCCUAUCUUUUUUAAUGCACUUUUCGUUUAACAAGUCAACAUCAAUUUCUUUUGUUGUAAAAGAGUCAUUGGAAGGUGGCUAUCUUUUCGGAGAAAGUGUUUAUAGCCUUUGGCUUCUGCAAUCGGAGAGAUUGAGGUCUGCAGCGUAGAUCCUUCGGGGUUAGAUGCAUUUGUGCUAAGUUAUAGCCUUUCAUAGACAACUUGUUGACUAUGAUCAGUCAUGUAGCUUACUCGCUUAUGUCAUUUUACCUACGCUUAGGAUGUUGAUAGUCACAGCGUGUAC